CACACAGUUUACACAAUUUUGUAAUUGUAGCAUAUUUUAUUUCCUGUACUACUUCUUAAUAUUUGUUGCACUUGGCCUAAAUUUUAUAGGGAAGAUUUAUCCAAGCAAAAUGGGUCCCAUUUUGGGUGCAAAGUGCUAAACACUGACACAUUGUAUUGGUUUCCAUGGUGACUGCUCCACAUUUAGCACUUUUGCCCCAAGAGUAGAAGG